rnacentral:rRNA from 1 species
AUGUAAAAGUCGUAACAAGGUCUCCGUUGGUGAACCAGCGGAGGGAUCAUUA